rnacentral:rRNA from 1 species
AUUGAACGCUGGCGGCAGGCCUAACACAUGCAAGUCGAGCGAGCGGCGGACGGGGGAGUAAUGUCUGGGAAACUGCCUGAUGGAGGGGGGUAACUACUGGAAACGGUAGCUAAUACCGCAUACCAUCAGAUGUGCCCAGAUGGGAUUAGCUGGUAGGUGGGGUAACGGCUCACCUAGGCGACGAUCCCUAGCUGGUCUGAGAGGAUGACCAGCCACACUGGAACUGAGACACGGGCCAGACUCCUAUGGGAGGCAGCAGUGGGGAAUAUUGCGCAAUGGGGGCAAGCCUGAUGCAGCCAUGCCGCGUGUGUGAAGAAGGUCUUCGGGUUGUAAAGCACUUGCAGCGGGGAGGCGUUACCCGCAGAAGAAGCACCGGCUAACUCCGUGCCAGCAGCCGCGGUAAUAC